CGGGUGCACUGAUCCAGCCGGGCCUUUCCCUCUGUGGAACCCCAUGGCCUUCACUGGCUGUGGCGGGGAAACAGGACUUUUACUUUGAAAAAAUUAGAGUGCUCCAGGCAGGCCUAUGCUCGAAUACAUUAGCAUGGAAUAAUAGAAUAGGACGUGUGGUUCUAUUUUGUUGGUUUCUAGGACCGCCGUAAUGAUUAAUAGGGACAGUCGGGGGCAUCAGUAUUCAAUUGUCAGAGGUGAAAUUCUUGGAUCUAUUGAAGACUAACUACUGCGAAAGCAUUUGCCAAGGAUGUUUUCAUUGAUAAGGAACGAAAGUUAGGGGAUCGAAGACGAUCAGAUACCGUCGUAGUCUUAACUAUAAACUAUGCCGACUAGGGAUCGGACGAUGUUAUUCUUUGACGCGUUCGGCACCUUUCGAGAAAUCAAAGUGCUUGGGCUCCAGGGGGAGUAUGGUCGCAAGGCUGAAACUUAAAGAAAUUGACGGAAGGGCACCACCAGGGGUGGAACCUGCGGCUUAAUUUGACUCAACACGGGGAAACUCACCAGGUCCAGACACAGUGAGGAUUGACAGAUUGAGAGCUCUUUCUUGAUUCUGUGGGUGGUGGUGCAUGGCCGUUCUUAGUUGGUGGAGUGAUUUGUCUGCUUAAUUGCGAUAACGAACGAGACCUUAACCUGCUAAAUAGCCCGUACUGCUUUGGCAGUUCGCCGGCUUCUUAGAGGGACUAUCGG
rnacentral:rRNA from 1 species